AAACCGGGGCAGGCGGUUCCCUAAAAAAAAAUUAAAAACCCCCGGGUUUAACCGUGGGACCCCCAUUUGUGACUCCGCGGCACAAAUUAUGCAAAACGGGGGUAGAAUUCCACCCGGAAACCAUGAAAACGCAAACAAAUGGGGGGGAAAACCCGUGGGCGAAGGGAGCCCCCCUGGGCCAAAACUCAAGUUAAUGCCCGAAAGCCUGGGGGCCCAACAAGGAAUAGAUACCCUGGGUUUUCCACGCCCUUAACGAAGUCAAAUAAGUGUCGGGGUCUUCAUUGACCUGGUUAACGAAGCUAACGCGUGAAGUUGACCCCCUGGGGAGUACCGUCCCAAGAUUAAAACUCAAAGGAUUUGACGGGGCCCCGCACAAGCGGUGGAUGAUGUGGAAUAAUUCGAUGCAACGCGAAAAACCUUACCUACCCCUGACAUGUAUGGAACCCUGCUGAGAGGUGUGGGUGCCCGAAAGGGAGCCAUAACACAGGUGCUGCAUGGCUGUCGUCAGCUCGUGUCGUGAGAUGUUGGGUUAAGUCCCGCAACGAGCGCAACCCUUGUCCCUAGUUUCUACGCAAGAGCACUCCAGGGAGACUGCCGGUGACAAACCGGAGGAAGGUGGGGAUGACGUCAAGUCCUCAUGGCCCUUAUGGGUAGGGCUUCACACGUCAUACAAUGGUCGGAACAGAGGGUCGCCAACCCGCGAGGGGGAGCCAAUCCCAGAAAACCGAUCGUAGUCCGGAUCGCACUGUGCAACUCGAGUGCGUGAAGCUGGAAUCGCUAGUAAUAGCGGAUNAGCAUGCCGCCCCGAUCCGUUCCCGGGUCUUGUACACACAGUCCGUCACACGAUGGGAGUGGGUUUCACCAGAAGUAGGUAGCCUAACCAACAAGGAGGGUGNUUCCUAUCCUCAAUUGCUGGUAAUGUGGNCC
rnacentral:rRNA from 1 species